AGUGAACGCUGGCGGUAGGCCUAACACAUGCAAGUCGAACGGCAGCACAGUAAGAGCUUGCUCUUACGGGUGGCGAGUGGCGGACGGGUGAGGAAUACAUCGGAAUCUACUUUUUCGUGGGGGAUAACGUAGGGAAACUUACGCUAAUACCGCAUACGACCUACGGGUGAAAGCAGGGGAUCUUCGGACCUUGCGCGAUUGAAUGAGCCGAUGUCGGAUUAGUUAGUUGGCGGGGUAAAGGCCCACCAAGGCGACGAUCCGUAGCUGGUCUGAGAGGAUGAUCGGCCAAACUGGAACUGAGACACGGUCCAGACUCCUAGGGGAGGCAGCAGUGGGGAAUAUUGGAAAAUGGGGGCAAGCCUGCUCCAGCCAUACCGCGUGGGUGAAGAAGGCCUUCGGGUUGUAAAGCCCUUUUGUUGGGAAAGAAAAGCAGCAGGUUAAUACCCCGCUGUUCUGACGGUACCCAAAGAAUAAGCACCGGCUAACUUCGUG
rnacentral:rRNA from 1 species